rfam:Onchocerca ochengi, WGS project CAWC01000000 data, contig: 06543_8860
UUUAUCGAUCAUACAACGUUAAAAGCACGCCAUCUCAUCCGAUCUGUCAAGUUAAGCAAUUUUGAGCUCAAUUUGUGGUUGAUCAGAAACGGCGCGGGAAUUUCAAAUGUUAUUAAUG